AUGGCCCCUAAAUGCCAGUCUCUGCACCAGCCUCCGAAGAGGAGAUCAAGGGUGCUUGCUUCUUCGUGUCCAGAGACUUGGGCCUCUGCAGGCCUGCCAAAAAAAAAGGAGAAAAAGAGCAGCAAGAAGCAAUUGAACAUACUGAUGAAGUACAGAAUGAAAUAGACAGACUUAACACGCAAGCCAGUGAGGAGGUUUUGAAAGUAGAACAGAAAUAUAACAAACUCCGCCAACCAUUUUUUUCAGAAGAGGUCAGAACUGAUCGCCAAAAUCCCAGACUUCUGGGUGACAACAUUUGUCAACCAUCCACAAGUGUCUGCACUGCUUGGGGAGGAGGACGAGGAGGCACUGCGUUAUCUGACCAGAGCUGAAGUGACAGAACUUGAAGAUAUCAAAUCAGGUUACAGAAUAGAUUUUUAUUUUGAUAAAAAUCCUUAUUUUGAAAAUGAGCUUCUCUCCAAAGAAUGUCAUCUGAAUGAGAGUGGUGAUCCUUCUUCCAAGUCCACUGAAAUCAAACGGAAACCUGGAAAGGAUUUGACGAAACGUUCAAGCCAAACACAGAAUAAAGCCAGCAGGAAGAGGCAAGCAUGAAGAGCCAGAGAGCGUCUUUACCUGGUUCACUGACCGUUCUGACGCAGGUGCAGACGAGUUAGGAGAUGGCUUUUGGCCCAAUCCAUUGCGGCACUACUUGGUUCCUGAUAUGGAUGAUGAAGAAGGAGAAGGUGAAGAGGAUGAUGAAGGGAAGGAAGGAGAGGAGGAUGAAGGAGAAGAUGACUAAUAGAACACUGAUGGAUUCCAACCUUCCUU